UUUCCGCAGGUGAACCUGCGGAAGGAUCAUUAUUGUAUAACCGAGGUGCGAGGGCUGUCGCUGACCCGAAAGGUCGUGCACGCCCGAGUGCCCUCACACACAUCCAUCUCACCCCUAUAUGCACCACCGCGUGGGUCCCCCUUUGGCUUGUUCGGAGGGGGGCUUACGUUUUCACACAAACUUUGUAUGCAGUGUAGAAUGUAUUUUUUGUUCUUGCGAUCACGCAAUCAAUACAACUUUCAACAACGGAUCUCUUGGCUCUC
rnacentral:misc_RNA from 1 species